rnacentral:rRNA from 1 species
UACGUAGGGGGCAAGCGUUGUCCGGAAUUAUUGGGCGUAAAGAGCGCGCAGGCGGUCGAUCAAGUCGAGUGUGAAAGCCCCCGGCUCAACUGGGGAGGGUCAUUCGAUACUGAUCGACUCGAAGGCAGGAGAGGGUAGUGGAAUUCCCGGUGUAGUGGUGAAAUGCGUAGAUAUCGGGAGGAACACCAGUGGCGAAGGCGACUACCUGGCCUGUUCUUGACGCUGAGGCGCGAAAGCUAGGGGAGCAAACGGG